AUGGCCUGGGAUUCUCUCCUUCUCACACUCCUUAUUCACUUCUCAGGGUCUUUGGCUCAGUCUGUCCUGACUCAGCCAUCUGCAAUGUCCAAGUCUGUUGGGGAGACAGUCACAAUCUCCUGCACUGGAAGCAGCAAUAAUGUUGGGCGUGGUUAUCCAUCCUGGUACCAGCAGCUUUCUGACAGUACCCCCAGAAUGCUCAUCUACAAUGCUGAUAAGAGACCAUCUGGGGUCCCAGACCGAUUCUCAGGCUCCAGGUCAGGGAACACAGCCUCCCUGAGCAUCUCUGGGCUCCAGUCUGAGGACGAGGCUUAUUAUUACUGUGCAGCCUAUGCUUUAUCUACUAUCAACAUUCACGGGGGGGGGGGAAAUUGUGAGCUACACUCCCAAAGCAAGCCACUGAUUUUUCCCUAG